rnacentral:lncRNA from 1 species
UCAGGAUCUCAUCUCUAAACCACUCUUGACCGGGAUCAAUCCAGAAGAGACCCGGAUCAACCUAGACGAUGCCCGGGUCACAAUUGAAAUGAACCAGUUAAAGUGCAUCGAUGUCCCGGUGACCGCAGACCAUGUUACAUAUCUAACCAACAUAGAGUUGGCCGAAGCAAUCCGGUUAUACCAGGAACAACGAGCCGAGAACCUCAAAGGACCCAGGUUGAUUCCUGAUUCCGAAGACUUUGAAAAUUCCCGCCAAUCCCGGGGUUCCGUCUUUGACCGGAUUGGUGACAAAGUAAGGUAAAAGAAGCAGAGAGAAAGUGAUGCCACAAGGCGAAAGAUCCUGGCCAAAAAAAAAAGAACACAUCCGGAGAGAAGAAGAAGAAAAGCUAGAGCAAAAAAUUCAAAGAAGGAUCCAGUUAUAAGAAGAAAGGCUCAUGAGCAAGUCCCGCUCCAAACGAUCUAGGAAUGAGCCAACCCAAGAGCUGAUCUAAGACCAUGAGAAUAACGAGUAUCAGACCAAUCUAUGGGACAUGAUCCAUGAGCUGUAGAAGAAAGUUAGAAGGGACUCCGGGUACGGGAGUAUGAUAAUGAGGCACUCUCGGCUUAUAUGAGAUGUCUUCAAGAAGCAAUCAGCAAGAAGUUUUUCUAAGCAACCAUACUAGUCCUGACUUAGAUGAGUCCGGACUACGCAAUCAUACUAGCCCUGAUUCAAUAAUGAGUCCGGACCAAGCAAUCAUACUUGGAAAAAAAAUUUCUAAGACAAACAAUCAAAAGCUACCCCGGUCCAGUUAUGACAUAUCUCUUACUUGGAAAAAUUAUUUUCCAAGGCAAACAAACAAAAAGCUACCCGGGUUCAAUCAUGAUCUAUCUCUUACUUGGAAAAAUUUUCCAAGGCAAAAAGCAAAAGCUACCUCGGUUCAAUUUUGAGAACCCGAGUACCCCGGUUCAAUCAUGAGCUAUCUUACUUGGAAAAAUUUUCCAAGGCAAAAAGCAAAGUUCAAUUUUGAGAACCCGAGUACCCCGGUUCAAUCAUGAGCUAUCUCUUACUUGGAAAUUAUUUCUAAGGCAAACAAACAAAAGCUACCCCGGUCCAGUUAUGACAUAUCUCUUACUUGGAAAAAUUAUUUUCCAAGGCAAACAAACAAAAAGCUACCCGGGUUCAAUCAUGAUCUAUCUCUUACUUGGAAAAAUUUUCCAAGGCAAAAAGCAAAAGCUACCCCGGUUCAAUUUUGAGAACCCGAGUACCCCGGUUCAAUCAUGAGCUAUCUCUUACUUGGAAAAAAAAAAAAUUCCAAGGCAAACAAGCAAAAGCUACCCCGGUCCAGUUAUGACCUAUCUCUUACUUAGAAAAAUUUUCUAAGGAAAAAAAGCAAAAGCUACCCCGGUUCAAUUUUGAGUACCCCGGUUCAAUCAUGAGCUAUCUUAUUUGGAAAAAAUUUUCUAAGGCAAACAAGUAAAAGCUACCCGGGUUCAAUCAUGAGCUAUCUCUUACUUGGAAAAAAAUUUCCAAGGCAAACAAGCAAAAGCUACCCCGGUCCAGUUAUGACCUAUCUCUUACUUAGAAAAAUUUUUCGAAGGAAAAAAAGCAAAAGCUACCCCGGUUCAAUUUUGAGUACCCCGGUUCAAUCAUGAGCUAUCUUACUUGGAAAAAUUUUUCUAAGGCAAACAAACAAAAAGCUACCCCGGUCCAGUUAUGACAUAUCUCUUACUUGGAAAAAUUAUUUUCCAAGGCAAACAAACAAAAAGCUACCCGGGUUCAAUCAUGAUCUAUCUCUUACUUGGAAAAAUUAUUUCCCAAGGCAAACAAACAAAAAGCUACCCGCGUUCAAUCAUGAUCUAUCUCUUACUUGGAAAAAUUAUUUUCCAAGGCAAACAAACAAAAAGCUACCCGGGUUCAAUCAUAAGCUAUCUCUUACUUGGAAAAAUUAUUUUCCAAGGCAAACAAACAAAAAGCUACCCGGGUUCAAUCAUGAUCUAUCUCUUACUUGGAAAAAUUUUUUUCCAAGGCAAACAAACAAAAAGCUACCCGGGUUCAAUCAUGAUCUAUCUCUUACUUGGAAAAAUUAUUUUCCAAGGCAAACAAACAAAAAGCUACCCGGGUUCAAUCAUGAUCUAUCUCUUACUUGGAAAAAUUUUUUUCCAAGGCAAACAAACAAAAAGCUACCCGGGUUCAAUCAUGAUCUAUCUCUUACUUGGAAAAAUUAUUUUCCAAGGCAAACAAACAAAAAGCUACCCGGGUUCAAUCAUGAUCUAUCUCUUACUUGGAAAAAUUUUCCAAGGCAAAAAGCAAAAGCUACCCCGGUUCAAUUUUGAGAACCCGAGUACCCCGGUUCAAUCAUGAGCUAUCUUACUUGGAAAAAUUUUUCUAAGGCAAACAAAGCAAAAGCUACCCCGGUCCAGUUAUGACCUAUCUCUUACUUAGAAAAAUUUUCUAAGGAAAAAAAGCAAAAGCUACCCCGGUUCAAUUUUGAGUACCCCGGUUCAAUCAUGAGCUAUCUUGGAAAAAUUUUUCUAAGGCAAACAAACAAAAAGCUACCCCGGUUCAAUUUUGAGUACCCCGGUUCAAUCAUGAGCUAUCUUACUUGGAAAAAAUUUUCUAAG